rnacentral:rRNA from 1 species
AGAGUUUGAUCAUGGCUCAGGAUGAACGCUGGCGGCGUGCCUAACACAUGCAAGUCGAGCGAUCUCUUCGGAGAGAGCGGCGGACGGGUGAGUAACGCGUGGGUAACCUGCCCUGUACACACGGAUAACAUACCGAAAGGUAUGCUAAUACGGGAUAAUAUAUGAAAGUCACAUGGCUUUUAUAUCAAAGCUUUGCAGUA